UGGGAGGCUUUUCGGUGAAAACCUCCCAUUAACAAAAGGUGUCUCCUCCUGCUGGAUCAUAUUUGGGCACCUUGCCAUUGCAGAUUUGACAGAGGACAUCAAAUGGUCUUGUUAACCUGUGAAUUUGGCAUAAAUGUAAGGAAGAGACUGGAAGCAAACAGACAUGCAGGAGCUCAGACACAGAUAUGAGUAUUUCUGUGGGACUGAUUUGCAAUUGCUAAGCCAAAGAGAUGGUUACAAACACUGCCUGGUAUAGGAUGUAUUUACUUCAGCAUCCUGAGAAAACUCGACUCAGAGGAAAAGUGUGAGACCUGAAGGCAAACAUGAAUUUUACUUUUAUUCCCAUGCAUACUGCUUUUUUUCAAAAACAUUUCCAUUUUAUACCUUUGAUGGGCCUAGUUUGGGGCUAUCUAUAGAGUCAGGUUUCUCUUAUUUGGAAAACUUGACUGUAAUGUUGUAGUACAAAGCUCUGGCCACGCUGUCCAGCCCCAGAGGGUGCCAUGCAGUUCACAGCGACAAGAAUGUUUUGGAAUGCUGGCAAAGGAGCAGAAACAGUGUGUCCUCCCCACACAUUUAGAAAAAUAAACGUACAGAGGACAUGGCGUACUUCUUAAUAAAGGCUUUGGAAAACACCACACCUCAGUAAACAUUCCUCAGGAGGUGAGGAAACACUCUGGUCAAUGGCUUACCUCAGCUCCCGUAAUUCUGGGUCCAGUGAAGCGGACAAUAGCGCAGACGCAGCACCAGCCUUGAAGGAGGGAGAGCAAAGGACAUGCAGACACGCUCUUCAAACAAGCCCAGGGUCCUGCUUCAGGCACUUUGUGUUGUCUGGUCAUCCCAAGACGUGUUUGGGAUUUGCUGAACCCUCCAUCACUAGGUAACCACGUCUUGGUGCUUUCUUCUGACCCUGGAUGAGACACUUAACAACUUCCUCCUUUGGCCUUCAGAGGUCCUGAUGGGGCUUCCUUUGUAACUUCGCAUAGAGCAAUCCAAGCUCAGUGCCUCUGACACCAGUGUAAUUCCCUCUCUCCUGAGUUUGAAAAUGCAAGGAUCACCAUCCUCAUUGACGGUAACCAAAGAGAACCAAAUAUUCAGCUUAUGGUUGGAUUGCGUAUUGUCCUAACCUUUUGCUCCCCAAAUGUUUCAUCUGCAGUCUGAAGCAUCUUUUCCACUGAAAAGAAAAAGACUAUUAAGAAGGUUCCCAUCAUUUUCGAUAGGAAGCAACGUUCUUGAUUCAUUCGCGUAACAGGAGAUUUGAACUAAAUGGCGUCCCUUUUUAGUUUGUGGAGCCAAUAUUGUUCCCUGGCACCAUUUUCCUAAAUGACUAACUAUUCACCUCACUCCAGCCUCUUUCAAAAAUUCCAGCAUGCCUGAGUGAAUCUAUGCUGGAGCUCUGUACAAAGCUAGUGAGAACCCCAUUUCUGUCUCCAGAUUUCUCUAGAGCAGCAGCUCCCUAACACAGUUCCGCUGACACUGGAAAUCAGGAAUAUGUGGGAUUUAUUAAAAAAGACAGAUGCUUGGGCCUCAUUCUGAAGGUUUUCAUUCAUUGUAUCUUGGUCGGAGCCAGGUAUCAAUGUUUUAUUAAUUCCCUGGUGACCCUAAAAUAAAGCAGGUUUGCUAACUAACAACUUAGGCCACUCCAGUUGUCUACUUCCCUCCUUUUCUCUGGCUUCCCUGUUUUAUGAUUCCUUUACAUAGUUCAUCUUCCUCUCUGUCUUGUCACUUACACUGAUACAUUUUUCAGCCUUGACACCUCAGAUUCAGCCUCUAGCUCCCCUCCAGAACAUGACUGUUUCACUGCUAUCCCUGGAUGAGACACUGGAUGAGAAAGGUUUUAGUGUCUCAGCCCUCCAGUCCUUAUGAGGGUGGCUUCCUGCAGGAGAGAAUAAGUAGACACAAGCAACUAGCUGUGAGGUCUCCAGAGCAUGGCCCCAGGGCAAUUGUUGGUUUGCUACACUUAAAAGAAGGCUUUA